CUGACAGCAGUAGCGUGCAGGAUGACGGCCCUAUGGGUUGUAAACUGCUUUUGUAUGGGGAUAAAGUCAGUCACGUGUGAUUGUUUGCAGGUACCAUACGAAUAAGGACCGGCUAAUUCCGUGCCAGCAGCCGCGGUAAUACGGAAGGUCCGGGCGUUAUCCGGAUUUAUUGGGUUUAAAGGGAGCGUAGGCUGGAGAUUAAGUGUGUUGUGAAAUGUAGACGCUCAACGUCUGACUUGCAGCGCAUACUGGUUUCCUUGAGUACGCACAACGUUGGCGGAAUUCGUCGUGUAGCGGUGAAAUGCUUAGAUAUGACGAAGAACUCCGAUUGCGAAGGCAGCUGACGGGAGCGCAACUGACGCUGAAGCUCGAAGGUGCGGGUAUCGAACA
rnacentral:rRNA from 1 species